rnacentral:rRNA from 1 species
UAGGGAAUCUUCGGCAAUGGACGGAAGUCUGACCGAGCAACGCCGCGUGAGUGAAGAAGGUUUUCGGAUCGUAAAGCUCUGUUGUAAGAGAAGAACGAGUGUGAGAGUGGAAAGUUCACACUGUGACGGUAUCUUACCAGAAAGGGACGGCUAACUACGUGCCAGCAGCCGCGGUAAUACGUAGGUCCCGAGCGUUGUCCGGAUUUAUUGGGCGUAAAGCGAGCGCAGGCGGUUUGAUAAGUCUGAAGUUAAAGGCUGUGGCUCAACCAUAGUUCGCUUUGGAAACUGUCAAACUUGAGUGCAGAAGGGGAGAGUGGAAUUCCAUGUGUAGCGGUGAAAUGCGUAGAUAUAUGGAGGAACACCGGUGGCGAAAGCGGCUCUCUGGUCUGUAACUGACGCUGAGGCUCGAAAGCGUGGGGAGCGAACAGGAUUAGAUACCCUGGUAGUCCACGCCGUAACGAUGAGUGCUAGGUGUUGGAUCCUUUCCGGGAUUCAGUGCCGCAGCUAACGCAUUAAGCACUCCGCCUGGGGAGUACGACCGCAAGGUU